GCCAAUUUAAUUAUCCCCGGUGAGCGAGAGAGCGAGCGAGCUCAGCGAAGGGACUUGGAGAGGCGGGCGAGAAAGCGGAAGGCAACGCCGUCACCCCCCCACCCUUUCUCUCUCUCGUCGGUCGCUCAUCGGCGCCGCCAUUGCUCCGAGCUCGCCCUAUUCUCAAGAUUUUCUUCGUUGUUGCAUAUCAGUGUUUUUAGUGGUGGAUUGAUAUGGAUCAGUAUGAGAAGGUGGAGAAGAUUGGGGAAGGGACUUACGGCGUGGUGUAUAAGGCUCGGGAUCGUCUUACGAAUGAGAUGAUUGCUUUGAAGAAAAUCCGGCUGGAGCAAGAAGAUGAAGGAGUCCCAAGCACUGCUAUUAGAGAGAUAUCACUUUUGAAGGAAAUGCAGCAUGAUAAUAUUGUCAGGUUGCAAGAUGUAGUGCACAGUGAGAAGCGAAUAUACUUGGUCUUUGAGUAUCUGGACCUGGAUUUGAAAAAGCACAUGGAUUCUUGUCCAGAACUUGCUAAAGAUCCAUGCUUAAUAAAAACGUUUCUUUACCAGAUUCUCCGUGGUAUAGCAUAUUGCCAUUCUCAUAGAGUUCUUCACCGAGAUCUGAAGCCUCAGAACUUGCUUAUAGAUCGGCGCACUAAUGCCCUGAAGCUUGCAGACUUUGGACUAGCCAGGGCAUUUGGUAUCCCUGUCCGGACAUUUACUCAUGAGGUGGUAACACUGUGGUAUAGGGCACCAGAAAUUCUGCUAGGGUCUCGGCAUUACUCUACUCCUGUUGAUAUUUGGUCGGCGGGCUGUAUUUUUGCUGAAAUGGUGAACCAACGGCCACUGUUCCCUGGAGAUUCUGAGAUCGAUGAAUUGUUUAAGAUUUUCAGAGUUUUGGGUACUCCAAAUGAAGAAACUUGGCCUGGUGUUUCUUCCUUGCCUGACUACAAGUCUGCUUUCCCCAAGUGGCCUCCCAAGGAUCUAGCAAUGGUGGUCCCGAAUCUUGAACCAGCAGGGAUUGAUCUUCUCUUGGUGGCCGGCAUAGCGCAUGGCAUGCAUAACUGCUUAAUGUACAAGCAUGUUGAUCUGGCACAGCUAUUCUCUGGGUAUAGAGUCAUUAAAAAUGCCAGUUGUAGAAUAAGGAAUGCCAUAUAUAUUGGGAUGCAGAAAGGAGGCCGCAUUUAAUAAUCGUUUUUAAAUUCUGCUGGCGAGCUUGCAAGUACAGUAGCCUGGUUAACUUCAGAUCUCAUUAAGUGCAUCAUUUUCAAUGCCCCUUCUGCUGUAACUGUAUGAUCAUUGGAUCAAUGAUGUGGUUAUAUCUGAUGUGGAGAUGCUCAUUUUACAUUACUUGGUAAAUCUAUCUGCAGUUGGAAAAUGCUUUGCUUGGAACCAAGCAGAAGAAUCACAGCUCGGAAUGCUCUUGAGCACGAGUACUUCAAGGAUAUUGGGGAGGCACCAUAAUCUGCAUUUUCGUUCUUUCCUCUGUAUAUAAUCUCAGGCAAGUCAUCAGAUGUGCUGCAACUUGUUGGUGUUGAACCGGAUCUGUGUGUUUCCUUUGCCCCUUUUGUUUUCGGCUCCACCUUGCAACUGGUUCUUGUUUGUGUAGAGAAGUGGAAACCUGAGAUGGGAACUGGGCUUGUCUUCAUUAAAAUUGAAUGCAAAAGCAUAAAAAGAAAAAAAAAAUGCGGCGUUUCUUUUCUUGUUCGAGAGGGUAGUUUAUGGCUCAUCUAAAUUGCUGAGAUGUAUUCUGUAAAGCCUAGAUUUACUGCUUCCAUGGAAUUGCUUCCUUGGAGGGAGAAGGCUAUCAUUUCUCAAUCAGAGUUUCUAGAAAUAAAUGGAGAACCCUGAUGUAGUUUCCUUAGUUAAUGCCACCUUUUGUAUUGAAGAGGCUAGUGAUCCUUGUUGCCCACGGAUAUGAUUGACAAAAGGUUGUCUACACCAGCAUUGCCUGACUACAUGCAAAUGCUGAGGCUUGUGAUUCUCAGACUCGGGCAUUUGCAGCUAGUACAAAAGUUGGUGAGUAAAAAACUGGUGGAUUAGAGUAGUUGCUUAGCUCCUAGUUGCAAGGGGGCUUUACUUUAUGGUAGCUAGCUUUGUGGCCUUGAUCAAUAUCUAAACAAAAUUAUGAAUAGUUUCUUAUCUGGAUCUUGAAUUAUUUUUUCGGUCCACAACAGGCUUGUUUUUAAUCCCCUAGUAUUUAUUUGAUAAAGAUGAAUAUUAUCCAUGUCUUGUAGAUACUGCUGCAAGCAACGAAUUUA